GAUGAACGCUAGCGGCAGGCUUAAUACAUGCAAGUCGAGGGGCAGCGCGGGUAGCAAUACCUGGCGGCGACCGGCAAACGGGUGCGGAACACGUACAGAACCUUCCUUUAAGCGGGGGAGUAGCCCACUAGAAAUAGUGGAUUAAUACCCACUAGUAAUAUUGACUGGCAUCAGUUGGUUAUUUAAAGUAAUUUAUUCACUUAAAGAAUGGCUGUGCGGCUGAUUAGGUAGUUGGUGCGGGUAACGGCCCACCAAGCCAGCGAUCAGUAACUGGUGUGAGAGCACGACCAGUCACACGGGC
rnacentral:rRNA from 1 species